UACGGAGGGUGCAAGCGUUAAUCGGAAUUACUGGGCGUAAAGCGCACACAGGCGGUCUGUCAAGUCGGAUGUGAAAUCCCCGGGCUCAACCUGGGAACUGCAUUCGAAACUGGCAGGCUAGAGUCUUGUAGAGGGGGGUAGAAUUCCAGGUGUAGCGGUGAAAUGCGUAGAGAUCUGGAGGAAUACCGGUGGCGAAGGCGGCCCCCUGGACAAAGACUGACGCUCAGGUGCGAAAGCGUGGGGAGCAAACAGG
rnacentral:rRNA from 1 species